rfam:Echinostoma caproni strain Egypt genome assembly, scaffold: ECPE_contig0003124
GGCCUCGUAGCUCAGCUGGUAGAGCGUGCGCGUACCAAGUGUGGAUGGCAUCUAUGCGUGGGUUCGGAUCCCACCGAGGCUA